CCUACUCCUGAAACACCAGGGUCGCCAAUGCCUCUUCAUGGAAAGACCGGUGAUGAUUCAUCUCAAUGUACCAAUAACAGUGGCCUGGAAGAUUGUUUAUCUCCUGGUUUACAUGGACCUUCAAAUAAAACUACUUAUCCAGAUUUGAUUGCUGCAGCAACAAAACAAGGUUUUGUUUCCCGGGAGGCACCCCUGUCAGUGGCAAAGCCCGUAGUGUCUAGGAAUAUGAGUGAGAACCAGGAUCAGCCAAGUCCAAUCUCAGUUUUAGAACCCCCAUUUGAAGAGGAUGACAACACGAUUCCAGAGCUUUCUGGAAAUAUCAGGCCAAACUGCCGGGGAGCA
rnacentral:misc_RNA from 1 species